rnacentral:lncRNA from 1 species
GGCCCCAGCUUCCACCAAGUAUCGGGACCCCAGCCCUGGAAACCAACCCCCAAAUCGCUCUCCUCUUCUUAGAAUAAGAUAAUUUAUCUCCCACUUUGAAUCUGUGGUCCCACCCCUCCUCUUCUCUUGUCUAGACUUCCAAGUGCUGGCUUUCACCACACUGCCCCACCUUGUUCCCCCCUCAAGCUCUCAGCCUUCAUCUUCGGAUUGCCACUUUCUCCUUCACAGCUAAGGUCUGGAUUUGUGAUUCGUUGAGCUGACAAGGACAGGGAGCUGGGGGAGGUUUGGGAAAGGGAGACUGGAAUACUUUGACCCUCCAAAUGACAAACUGUGUCCUCUUUCUAUCACUUCUUAUCAACUCCACUCCCCACCCUAGACACACAUCAUUGAUCACGCUCUCAAGUUCGAAGGGAGGGCAGCACGAGAAAGAAAGAGGGAGGCAAGCGAAAUUCCUGAAUGGAUAGACAGAUGCUACGUCAUCGGAGCCGCAUCCUCCACUCCACAAGAGGCUAGGAGCCGGAGAAAGAGGCAGGCCAGCGGCAGGGGCCACCGAGCCAGCGCGCCUCCUCCCAGAAGCCGGAGCAGAGCAUCGGAGAAGCAGCAGCCUCAUUUGCUUCUGGUGUCAUCGUAGGUGUCCACCUUUGGCUUUGGGGGUACAGCUUCCCACCACCCAGGAAGGAAGGAACUGGCCUGGAUUUUGGCAACCUCUUGCUUGUACCAAAAAGAAGAACCUACUUCAUCCAGUUGGCUUCAGUGCCCUGUGAGAAGCCUUCCUGAUUGAUGGAAAGAUGAGGCUAAAUUCUAGCAAGUUGAGUGGCUCCUUCAAGAAGCCUGUGUGCAGGAUAGAAGUGGAGAGGCCAUAGCCUCCAGCCUGGGCAGCCCAUUGGCACCUGGAGCCACCUCAACUUUGCCUCCCCUUUGCUCCUGUGUCUAUAAGCUGCCCAGCCCAGCCCAUCCUGGUUUCUCCUGUGUGUUCUGAGCUGAGAUUUCUCUGAGAUGGAAGCCCCAUCCCAUGUCUAAUAAAGACUCUUGAAUACUGAACA